UGAGGAAUAUUGGUCAAUGGGCGGGAGCCUGAACCAGCCAAGCCGCGUGAGGGAGGAAGGCCCUAUGGGUCGUAAACCUCUUUUGUCAGGGAACAAAAGCGAGUAUGUAUACUAGUCUGAGUGUACCUGAAGAAAAAGCAUCGGCUAACUCCGUGCCAGCAGCCGCGGUAAUACGGAGGAUGCGAGCGUUAUCCGGAUUUAUUGGGUUUAAAGGGUGCGUAGGCGGCGGUGUAAGUCAGCGGUAAAAGCCCGGGGCUCAACCCCGGCGAGCCGUUGAAACUGCAGUGCUAGAGAAGGCGAGAGGUACGCGGAAUGCGCAGUGUAGCGGUGAAAUGCUUAGAUAUUGCGCAGAACUCCGAUUGCGAAGGCAGCGUACUGGCGCCUGACUGACGCUGAGGCACGAAAGCGUGGGGAUCGAACAGGAUUAGAUACCC
rnacentral:rRNA from 1 species